UUGACGAGGUGGGCUGUGGGUCAGAAUCGACGUACCCAUCUGAUCCGUGGAACAGAUCCUGUCUAAAAAAAGAAAUUCACUUUCCGUUCGGUGGGUUCACACAGAAAAUUGGUUGCCAUUAGGGCGGAGCUCAUUUGGGAGUUGGGGACUGGGUCGUAGAGAGAAGGAGCGCCAGCGGCGAGGCACCAUGGAGUUCCUGCUGCAGCCGAUGCGCGGAUCCACUUUCCCUGGAGGAGGUCGCAGAGAGCUUGGUGCCGCCCCCUCUGCCGGCAGCGGCGACGGGAGGCGAUAUGGUGGCGGAGCAGGAGGUGGUGGAGCAGGAACGGGCGGUGGACAGCGCUGAAGCUCAGAUCUUGGUGGCCAGGGUAGCGACGGCCGCGGACAGGAGAGAGCUCACCCCCAACGUCGAAGUUGUCAACUGGGAAGAUGAAUCCCCGGGCGCCUGGAUGGAAUAAGAGGUUUGUGGUGGAUUUGAGCUUGCAGUCAUUAAUUUAGGGCUGCAAAAGAAAGAACUUUUGAGGAGUGGAAAAUUCCCGCCAUUAGUAGGUGUUUGCAGUAACUUAGUGUUGGAUUUAUACUCGCAGUCAGUAAAACUAGGUAUGUAGAUGAAAGUUACGAUGAGUGGAGUAGAACAACUAGUGAGUUGGCUCCGCUUGCAGGCCGAGGAUAGUGCUGCUGCACCAAGCAGAACACCGUGCCCAAACCAUGGGCAAAGCCGCGUGCUGCGAAACAUGUGCAAAUGCGGUUACGAGCAUCAAAUAUCUUGUCAGCAAACUAAAACAUCUCAAGCUGGAUGUGCUCGCGUGCAGUUGCAAGGUGCGAGAAGCAACGAGCAUUUAUUUCCUUGAGUAGGACUAUCAUCUCAUCGCUCGACUGGAACAUGAAAUGGGAGUUUGCAGUGAUACAGAGCGUACGAGUGAGUCCACAACCAAAAUUAAUGCUUUAGAAAAUGUGUACAAAAAGUUGAGGCACAAGAUAAUUUGCCAGGUGGGGAUACUGCCUCCAUAAAUAAUUGGUGAAAUUCAUCGGCCCUAGAAGACUUAUGGUCAUCGGAAUCAGUUCAUCAAUCAAAUGGUGUGCAGAUGUAGGGCUGGGAACAUCCCUCUGAGAUGUCCUGGCUGUGCUACCACCACAUGACGAAGCUGGCUAGAACGGAGGUUUUGCCGUGUUCCUUGACGCUAACUGCUCCACUGCGGAGUGCUUGGAAUGGGCGUAACACAUGGUGGAGAUGUGGCGUAACUACACGAUGUGGGUAGUUCUAGGAGAAUCAGAAAUAACAUUUAAAAAGAAGCAGCACAUCCGUGAGGGAUGGCUAGCACUUACCGGUGCGCCGGCAUAAGAUGGGGUCGUCUUGCCAACAUCUGUAGCCAUGGUUAUCAUUCUCUGGAUUGAGUCUUGGUCAAACACAUUUACCCUCGGCAACACAGAAUAUUGCUUGUUGAACAUCCCAAGGUCGAGAUUGUCCAGCAGGAAUAUCCGUGAGUGCUAUAAAUCGUUAGCCACAAGAAAUAGCAGGUAACUAAUGUCAUGAAUUUGGGGAUUUGGUGUCUGAUUUUUGCUGCACAUUUUUUUUUGUUUUCCUGCUCUGCUAGUUCUUAGUUCAAUUCCAUAAACAUAAAGAGGAUGUCUCGUCAGUCAUCACAGUGUGGAUUCCUUUUGUACUUGUUGAUUGUAUUCUUUGGAGUCCAAAUCAGUUUCUGUGGUUGUUACUAGCGCUUGUUUGUUUGAUAUAAUAACAUAGGCCUUAUUUGUGCUAGAAAGUAUCCUUUGCAACAAUGGGUUUGAAAUUAUUUAGGAUGAAGUAUCAGAUAAUGAGAAAAAUCUAAGCUACAUUGUUCAUGAGCGGUCAAAUAAAAAAACACAUGGUAUUCUUUGGCAUGACUUAGUGCUGCUCAACAAAAAAAAAUCUCAGCAGAAAAACUGGAACCACAUUCUCAGUCAGCAUUAUCCGCGCUUAAGAAGAAUUCUUGGAGAUGGCAGUUGUUUCUACAGAGCAUUCUUUUCUCCUAGUACUUGGUAACUAUCUCAGUUACUUGUUUUUGAUGAUGCCACUUUUCUAUUUUGCACAGAAGUUUAAUACCUCGAGGCUUUAAACAGGAAAACCUUGGAUUAAUGCAAGAUGGUCACGCUGAAGUUACUCGUCAGUCGUCUAAUGGAACAUGUGGCUAUGUCCAGAGAGAAUUUCUAUCGUCUGAAAUGGGAUAAAGCAUACUUCUUAACUCCUGAAGAAUACUUUUCAAGUGUUGUUUCUGGGGGUGGUUCCUGUCGGCAACAGGGACACAACAGGACAACCUGCCUGGAUCAUGGAGAUGUUCCAAAACAGCCUCGAAUACCUGCUCGGUGCAAGAACUGUAGUGUCAUGGGUCACUGACGAAGCAACUGUACGAAGGCCGCAUAACUAAGACUCCAAAACGACUGCUGAAAGAGCAUUCUAGGCGAUGAUGAGUGCACUGAUUAGAGGGUUGCAUCAAUUUAGUGACGAAACAUUAAGAAGCAAUUCAUAUCUGUUUGUCUGUGUGUUGUAGUUUUCACAUUAUUGUUUUCUGCCGGUGCUAGAAUAAGGACCAUUGUAUUUCUAUGUGUUGUUUCUUGUUAAUAGUAGAUUCAUGGUGUUGUGUGUUUGAUGAAGUUGUUGAUCUCUUCGAACAUAUACCUUCAGCGCUUGCUAAUGAGCUGAAUUUGAUGGACUAAUUGGAAAUGAACCGAAUUUCUGGAAACAGGCAAACACUUGAGUCA